rnacentral:rRNA from 1 species
GGGUUGUGAGGUUAAGCGACUAAGCGUACACGGUGGAUGCCCUGGCAGUCAGAGGCGAUGAAGGGCGUGCUAAUCUGCGAUAAGCGCCGGUAAGGUGAUAUGAACCGUUAUAACCGGCGAUACCCGAAUGGGGAAACCCAGUGUGAUUCGUCACACUAUCAUUAACUGAAUCCAUAGGUUAAUGAGGCGAACCGGGGGAACUGAAACAUCUAAGUACCCCGAGGAAAAGAAAUCAACCGAGAUUCCCCCAGUAGCGGCGAGCGAACGGGGAGGAGCCCAGAGCCUGAAUCAGCAUGUGUGUUAGUGGAAGCGUCUGGAAAGGCGCGCGAUACAGGGUGACAGCCCCGUACACAAAAGCGCAUGUGCUGUGAGCUCGAUGAGUAGGGCGGGACACGUGGUAUCCUGUCUGAAUAUGGGGGGACCAUCCUCCAAGGCUAAAUACUCCUGACUGACCGAUAGUGAACCAGUACCGUGAGGGAAAGGCGAAAAGAACCCCGGCGAGGGGAGUGAAAAAGAACCUGAAACCGUGUACGUACAAGCAGUGGGAGCCCCACCACCAAAGCAUUUGCUGUACCGCGUUGACGGAGCGAAGCGACGUCAAACCGAUAAAACAGCAGUGUAAAGUGAGCCGCAGGGCGCUUUGCGCGACAGCGCAAAGGCAGGCGGUUUCGCGUAGCGAAAGCGAAUGCUUUGGGGUGGGGUGACUGCGUACCUUUUGUAUAAUGGGUCAGCGACUUAUAUUCUGUAGCAAGGUUAACCGAAUAGGGGAGCCGGAGGGAAACCGAGUCUUAAUUGGGCGUUAAGUUGCAGGGUAUAGACCCGAAACCCGGUGAUCUAGCCAUGGGCAGGUUGAAGGUUGGGUAACACUAACUGGAGGACCGAACCGACUAAUGUUGAAAAAUUAGCGGAUGACCUGUGGCUGGGGGUGAAAGGCCAAUCAAACCGGGAGAUAGCUGGUUCUCCCCGAAAGCUAUUUAGGUAGCGCCUCGUGAAUUCAUCUCCGGGGGUAGAGCACUGUUUCGGCUAGGGGGCCAUCCCGGCUUACCAACCCGAUGCAAACUGCGAAUACCGGAGAAUGUUAUCACGGGAGACACACGGCGGGUGCUAACGUCCGUCGUGAAGAGGGAAACAACCCAGACCGCCAGCUAAGGUCCCAAAGUCAUGGUUAAGUGGGAAACGAUGUGGGAAGGCCCAGACAGCCAGGAUGUUGGCUUAGAAGCAGCCAUCAUUUAAAGAAAGCGUAAUAGCUCACUGGUCGAGUCGGCCUGCGCGGAAGAUGUAACGGGGCUAAACCAUGCACCGAAGCUGCGGCAGCGACACUGUGUGUUGUUGGGUAGGGGAGCGUUCUGUAAGCCUGCGAAGGUGGCCUGUGAGGGUUGCUGGAGGUAUCAGAAGUGCGAAUGCUGACAUAAGUAACGAUAAAGCGGGUGAAAAGCCCGCUCGCCGGAAGACCAAGGGUUCCUGUCCAACGUUAAUCGGGGCAGGGUGAGUCGACCCCUAAGGCGAGGCCGAAAGGCGUAGUCGAUGGGAAACGGGUUAAUAUUCCCGUACUUGGUGUUACUGCGAAGGGGGGACGGAGAAGGCUAUGUUGGCCGGGCGACGGUUGUCCCGGUUUAAGCGUGUAGGUGUGUGUUCCAGGUAAAUCCGGUUCACUUUAACACUGAGGCGUGACGACGAGGCACUACGGUGCUGAAGCAACAAAUGCCCUGCUUCCAGGAAAAGCCUCUAAGCAUCAGGUAACAUCAAAUCGUACCCCAAACCGACACAGGUGGUCAGGUAGAGAAUACCAAGGCGCUUGAGAGAACUCGGGUGAAGGAACUAGGCAAAAUGGUGCCGUAACUUCGGGAGAAGGCACGCUGACACGUAGGUGAAGUGAUUUACUCAUGGAGCUGAAGUCAGUCGAAGAUACCAGCUGGCUGCAACUGUUUAUUAAAAACACAGCACUGUGCAAACACGAAAGUGGACGUAUACGGUGUGACGCCUGCCCGGUGCCGGAAGGUUAAUUGAUGGGGUCAGCGCAAGCGAAGCUCCUGAUCGAAGCCCCGGUAAACGGCGGCCGUAACUAUAACGGUCCUAAGGUAGCGAAAUUCCUUGUCGGGUAAGUUCCGACCUGCACGAAUGGCGUAAUGAUGGCCAGGCUGUCUCCACCCGAGACUCAGUGAAAUUGAACUCGCUGUGAAGAUGCAGUGUACCCGCGGCAAGACGGAAAGACCCCGUGAACCUUUACUAUAGCUUGACACUGAACAUUGAGCCUUGAUGUGUAGGAUAGGUGGGAGGCUUUGAAGUGUGGACGCCAGUCUGCAUGGAGCCGACCUUGAAAUACCACCCUUUAAUGUUUGAUGUUCUAACGUGGACCCGUUACCCGGGUUGCGGACAGUGUCUGGUGGGUAGUUUGACUGGGGCGGUCUCCUCCUAAAGAGUAACGGAGGAGCACGAAGGUUGGCUAAUCCUGGUCGGACAUCAGGAGGUUAGUGCAAUGGCAUAAGCCAGCUUGACUGCGAGCGUGACGGCGCGAGCAGGUGCGAAAGCAGGUCAUAGUGAUCCGGUGGUUCUGAAUGGAAGGGCCAUCGCUCAACGGAUAAAAGGUACUCCGGGGAUAACAGGCUGAUACCGCCCAAGAGUUCAUAUCGACGGCGGUGUUUGGCACCUCGAUGUCGGCUCAUCACAUCUGGGGCUGAAGUAGGUCCCAAGGGUAUGGCUGUUCGCCAUUUAAAGUGGUACGCGAGCUGGGUUUAGAACGUCGUGAGACAGUUCGGUCCCUAUCUGCCGUGGGCGCUGGAGAACUGAGGGGGGCUGCUCCUAGUACGAGAGGACCGGAGUGGACGCAUCACUGGUGUUCGGGUUGUCAUGCCAAUGGCACUGCCCGGUAGCUAAAUGCGGAAGAGAUAAGUGCUGAAAGCAUCUAAGCACGAAACUUGCCCCGAGAUGAGUUCUCCCUGAGACUUAAAGUCUCCUGAAGGAACGUUGAAGACGACGACGUUGAUAGGCCGGGUGUGUAAGCGCAGCGAUGCGUUGAGCUAACCGGUACUAAUGAACCGUGAGGCUUAACCUUACAACGCCGAAG